AUCACAUGAUGAGGACACUUAUGAAGUAACUCCUUGAAUUUCUCCCAAGCUACAUAAAAAGACUCGUCAUCCAAUUGUUGGAAAGUUGUGAUCUCGUCCCGCAACAU
rnacentral:snoRNA from 1 species